rnacentral:piRNA from 2 species
ACAAAAUUGGGAUCAUCUAAACUGA